rnacentral:lncRNA from 1 species
UACGGAAUAAUAGUUUCGUUGCCAAAAAAGCCAAAAAAUAGUUAGCAUAUAAUAUAGCGACGAAAUCGAAAAAUCGUUGCUAAAUAUUGGCGCCCUCAAUAUAGCUACAGAUUUAGCGACAAAACCUGAGCGACAAAAUUUAUUUACCUACAACGACGGAAUUAGCAACGAAAUGUCCGUCGCUAUGUUUAAUUUCUUUAUCAAAAUUUUUUUAAGCUCCUUGCUACUGAAAUUUCCGUCGAUAAUGUUAUAUCUAGUAAACAAUAAUAUCAUUAUUAGCGACGGAAAUAAGCCGUAGCUAAUUCCGUUGUUGAAUACCACUUAAUUAUUUAUCCUAGGGCACAAAAUUUGUAAAAGUUCGGUGUCUUCUUCUUCUAACAGGGUAGAACGCUGGGAGCAAAUAUAGUCGGCUGGGAGCAAAAUCAAUGGAAAACGCACUUGAGAGCAAGAACAAGGGCAAAAAUUAGUAGCCAACGUGAAUUUAAGGUGUGUAGAUGGCUUUAAUUUGUUUCUUCUUCUAUUUCUUAUUAAUCAGUAGCUUGAUGGUGGUGCUAAUGACUACGAAUACUAUGUUCAUUACACUGAAUGUGAGUGAACAUUUUCAAAUUAAUUGUUUUCUUUUUAUUUUAUUUGCAUCAAUUUGGAGUAGCUAGGGCUUGGAGCUUUAUCAGAUUUUAAUUGUAAAAGGAGGC